rnacentral:rRNA from 1 species
UACGUAGGGCGCAAGCGUUGUCCGGAUUUAUUGGGCGUAAAGAGCUCGUAGGCGGUCUGUCGCGUCGGCUGUGAAAACCCGAGGCUCAACCUCGGGCCUGCAGUCGAUACGGGCAGACUAGAGUGCGGUAGGGGAGACUGGAAUUCCUGGUGUAGCGGUGAAAUGCGCAGAUAUCAGGAGGAACACCGGUGGCGAAGGCGGGUCUCUGGGCCGUAACUGACGCUGGAGGAGCGAAAGCGUCGGGGAGCGAACAGGA